CUCGUUUUGGGGGAUCUAUGGACCUUAUUACUCCAAGAAAGGAAGUUUUCAGAUUCCAUGAAUCCCCUCACUCCAAUGUACAGAAAUAUCCAUUUUGUUGAAAACUGGAAGGUCGAGCAUAUUACCAGCAACAUUUCGCAAGUCAUUUAGAAGUUGAAACUUUUUCGAGAGCUCCAAUAUGAGAAUGGAUGCUGACAGACACCCUCGUAUUGCCCUACGAUGGACACCACAAGGAAGAAGGAGGAGAGGUAGACCAUUGG